rnacentral:rRNA from 1 species
UACAGAGGUCCCAAGCGUUGUUCGGAUUCACUGGGCGUAAAGGGUGCGUAGGCGGCCGGGUAAGUCUGAUGUGAAAUCCCGCAGCUUAACUGCGGAACUGCAUCGGAUACUCUCCGGCUAGAGGAAUGGAGGGGAGACUGGAAUUCUCGGUGUAGCAGUGAAAUGCGUAGAUAUCGAGAGGAACACCAGUGGCGAAGGCGAGUCUCUGGGCCGAUAUUGACGCUGAGGAGCGAAAGCGUGGGGAGCGAACAGG